CCUACGGGUGGCUGCAGUGGGGAAUAUUGGACAAUGGGGGGAACCCUGAUCCAGCCAUGCCGCGUGUGUGAAGAAGGCCCUCGGGUUGUAAAGCACUUUCAGUGAGGAAGAACGCCUGGUGGUUAAUACCCAUCAGGAAAGACAUCACUCACAGAAGAAGCACCGGCUAACUCCGUGCCAGCAGCCGCGGUAAUACGGAGGGUGCGAGCGUUAAUCGGAAUUACUGGGCGUAAAGCGUGCGUAGGUGGCUUGAUAAGCCGGUUGUGAAAGCCCCGGGCUCAACCUGGGAACGGCAUCCGGAACUGUCAAGCUAGAGUGCAGGAGAGGAAGGUAGAAUUCCCGGUGUAGCGGUGAAAUGCGUAGAGAUCGGGAGGAAUACCAGUGGCGAAGGCGGCCUUCUGGACUGACACUGACACUGAGGUGCGAAAGCGUGGGUAGCAAACAGGAUUAGAUACCCCUGUAGUC
rnacentral:rRNA from 1 species